UGUGACGACCACUACAGCUGCUGUCCUCAUGACUAUCCUAUCUGCAACUUAAAUGAAGGCACCUGCUUGAUGGUAUGAUGAAAGGAUGAUUUUGCUGCAUUUUGUUGUUUGAAUAGCAUAUGAUCAUAUGUUUUUGGCCUAUAACUCAUUAAUGUUUUUGUUGCUUGCUUGAAUUCGUUUUGCAGAGCAAGGGUAACCCAAUGGCAGUGAAGGCACUGAGGCGCACUCCUGCUACGCCUUUCUGGGCCCAUGGAAGUGUUGGCGUAAAGAACAAUGCUUAAGGAGAAGCCUGGGAUUUUAUGCAGAAAAUGAUACUACAGGGAGAAGGGAACAGUGCUUGACCGAUCUCCUCUGUUUUGUCAGACU
rnacentral:lncRNA from 1 species